UGAGCCCACCUCGUGCUUCAGUGCGCCGCCGACCACCAUCCCGGCUGCCACGGUUACCAACCGGUCCCUGCAUCAGCGCACUCCUUGGUGACUUUAGAAGGAGCUGCUAGCGACCUCGCUUCGCCGCCGCCCCUGCGUGGUGUGCGAAGCGGGGCGUGCUCGCCCUUCAUCAAGUCAUCAGAAUACAGCCUUCAGUAAUUGUCUCACCAGACAACUAGCAGAGAUGCAGUGGAAGCUUCGACAUGGCAAUCUCAUCUCCUCCAUAGCCUUUAUCAACACCUCAGGCCAAAUCGGCUUUCCAUGUAAAAGCUGAUUUCGAUGACCGAACACAGCUUUUUCUUUUAACAUCUAUUUUAUCAUCUCUAUAUGUUAGGAGAGUUUUGUUGUCACUGUCGAUAGUUUUGUUAUGGUAAAUUGUCUGCAGGUGUUUGUUCCGCUGAAAUUUGCGGGACGAACUUCGUACAGAUAAUUACCACACUAGGCCAAAGGAACCGUUCUUUGAACGUUUUCAGCAGAUACUCGAUAAGGGUUCUGCUGCUUCAACCUUCAUCAGAAUCCCCCAACGUAUUAUUACGUCGCGUGUGGGUAACGACGACACUGAUCACAGAAGUUCACGUCGUGGUCUUAUGCAUAAACACAAUAUGCAAAAAACUUGUCUUUAAAAAAAGUUUAACAAACUUUUCUAAGACGAGUACAUGGAUUUGAAAAUAUGAAUGGGAACGGCAUGGUUACCUAUGGGAAAAGGUAACUGUAACCGGCGCGGAUCCAGGGGGAGGGCAUCUCAUACCCUCCCUCCAUAACAGACAUGUGUUUGUUUUGGAGCUCACGGUCCUCGUGAUUCGUUCGAGACUUGGAUUCGCGCCUCAACUCCGUAGCAAGUAGUUUAAGACUUAUGAUUAAGUAAAGCAUUAAACUCUGGUGUAUUUUAUGAUUUUUGGUUCUAACGAAAAAACCCUCACUUAUAUGAUAUCAUCAAUAUAAUAAAUACAGUUCGGCGCGUCUUUGAACUAAACAUGUAAUUAAA